rnacentral:rRNA from 1 species
GACAGCAGUCGCCACGGGAAUACGUAGGUGGCAAGCGUUGUCCGGAAUUAUUGGGCGUAAAGGGCUCGCAGGCGGUUUCUUAAGUCUGAUGUGAAAGCCCCCGGCUCAACCGGGGAGGGUCAUUGGAAACUGGGAAACUUGAGUGCAGAAGAGGAGAGUGGAAUUCCACGUGUAGCGGUGAAAUGCGUAGAGAUGUGGAGGAACACCAGUGGCGAAGGCGACUCUCUGGUCUGUAACUGACGCUGAGGAGCGAAAGCGUGGGGAGCGAACAGGAUUAGAUACCCUGUAGUCCCUGUCUCUUAUACA